GAGGCUGCCCGUUCUUCAUCUUUUGCUUGCAGAAUCCUAUACACGUGUUUGCUGGAAGGAGAGAAUGAUGGAAAACCGGGCUCUUCCAUUUGCUUCCAGAACAGAUUUCUCAAGCUCUCUCACUCACAAACCGCGAACUCCUAGUCUCCGUCAGAAGAAAAGCUUGGCUCCCGUUCUGAUUUGAGGAUAUUUUAAACCUAGAAAAGCUUGGGUUUCCUGGCUUUGCUGAAAAUUGGAAUUCGUGGCGCUAUUGUAUCUGAUGUUUGAGGCUUUGGUGCACAAGGUGGUUCAACAGAGAGGACAGGGCGGCUCUGCAUUUUGUGGAGGCAACUAGCAUAGAGAUUGUAGUGAGCAAAGACCAGAGCAAGGAGAAUGUGACCCGAUUAGCUCCAAGCUUGCGGAACCCAGAAGAGUCUCGAAUUCAGUUUCCACUCUCACUGAAAAUGAAACUUGGUGCUAUUAAGCUAUCAUCGUGAGCCCUCAGAAUUCAGGUUAGAUCCCAUUUCAAUUUUCACUUCCGUAGCUUGAAGUUGAAACGCAGCCAUGAGCCACCAGCUUUCCUUCACCAGAAUCAGUGAAUCACCACCACCCAGCUUCACAAAUCAACACCCAGCCACCGGCGCCACGCCAAAGCAUCCUUCACGAAUCGUCUCCGACACGAUUCCUUCACGAAUCGUCUCCGACACGAAUCGCUGGACAGAACUCUCCAGCCUUCCUUCACGAUUCCUUCACGAAUCGUCUCCGACACGGCGACACUUGCGAGUUGCGAUCUCUCUCUCUCGGGCAAUUUUCCCUCACAGACAGAACUCUCAAUCUAGCACUGAGUCUGAGUCUCACUCUCACCCAAAUUAGAAUACCAGCACCAAGCAGCAGCGUCGACCUCAGACUCGUCACAAGGUUCUUCACAUAAAUCAGCUCUCAUGCUUCUGUAAACGGUGUAGUGCCCACUUCCAGCUCUUCCAAAGUGCUCCACAAUGGCAACAAGACGGUAGAGGCAAGUACUUGAAGGAACCACUUUGCAACUCUCAGUCAACUGCAAUAGAUUUUUGAACCAUUGACGAGGAGACGCUUUGUAUUAAUCUCCAGAAACUCGAAAGUUCACGGUUGAGCUUCACCGAUCUCUCUUCAAUUGUUCUCGAACUCGUCAUGUCUCGCUCUCAGUUUUUGGUGCCUCACGGAUUCCGGCUAGCUCCGCAGACCAUAGAAAUGAUCAUUCAUCAGGCCUGUAUUUUGAUUGCAUCCUCUCAGUUUUUGUCUCUGUCUCAGUUUACACCGGCUCACUAAUUCCGGCUGCGUCUGUACUCGUCAAACCACAGAAAACACCUGAAGUCAAUUUUCUGAAGGUUGUUUUGCUCCUCGGGUUUGCUGCUCAGAAGAUCAAAUUGUCCAGCAUUUAACUAAUAGGCAAGUACCUUUGAGGUGCAAGGAGAAGAAAGUAAGGUGUGUGAAUCACCUAGAAAAAAAGGUGUGACCGUUUGAGACCCAGAAACAGAAACAGUGGUGUUCCAGUCCCUUUGGAGACUGUCGGUGACAUCUGUGUAGCCAUCAAAGCGUUUACGAACGAGCAGAAGGCUAUUGAAAAUGGGAUUCCGUCUGAGGAGUUGGAAGAGGAAGAUAUGGCUAAUGGGGAAGAGAAAAGCAGUGACUUCUAUGCAGUUUUGGGGUUGGAAAAGAAAUGCAGACUCGGAGCUCAGAGAAACUCCAUAUUUUGUUUUUAUUCCUUGCAUUCCUUUUCACUUAAUUUUAACUAUAAUUUUACUUUUUCUUGGGUGAUUUCAUGUAUAUGAUUAUAUGAUUCUUCUCUUUUGCUUAACAUGGCAUAUUUAGUAGUAACUACGCAUUUCAGUCAUAGAAGUUUCUAACAUGGGGAUUGGUUAAUGGUAUGCAACACAUAAUUUCGAAAAGUUGCAAGGUUUGUUCUUAUACUGUACAUGAGUUUUCUUUGUAAUUUAUACAUACAAUGGUUAAUAUUUGUAGCUGUGAUUGACUUGUCCUACAAGUUUAGACUCAAUGCAGGUCUGAACGAAGUGAGGCACUACUUAAAGGAAUUGUUUCCAAGACCAAGACCUUCGACUUAUUAAUACAACCAUCAUGGGAUUCUCGAAACCAAAAGGGGUAAUUCUGAAGUUGGUUCUUCAAUUGAUGAAUGUUAAGGUCCGAGUAUAUAGCUCAUAUCAAGAGCCAAUAUCUGAUUAAUAUUGUUCUACAUUUUCUGGCUUUGCUUUUCAUCAUCAGAUGCAUAGGAGCGAGAAGAUGGAAGACCCCAGUCAAGGCAGUAAGCCAAGUCCCCAGACUGCUCCAAGCGCUAGGAGGUCAUCCUUGAGCAACCUGGCCUGAGGAUUUUACCAAAAUGGCAUGAAAAUUCAAGCUCGGGCGGUACCCCCAUUUCAUCUCUCACCCAGCUACGCGAUUCAUCAUCUGCUUUAUUUCUCAUACAAAAACAUUUCUGUAACAAUCAACAGUUCAAAUGGUAAAAGUGGCAACAAAGGCAAUUUGGAGCAUUUUACAGCAAUUUUGGGCUUGGAAUGGAUAUCACAUGCAUGGAACGAGGUGAAUGGACUUUUUGAAGAUCAAAAGAGGUUAGGAAUGUGCUAAAGAGUUGAAGAAAUUAAUUCAAGACAUAGAAGAUAAGGAAUCAACUAAAGAGAAGGAACAUUAUCCAAAACCUUAUCUUAUCUGAUCCUAACCUUAUCCUAAUCCUAUUCUACCUAAAUUCCAGCUGCGAGGGGGAGUUAUUUUCAUAUUAGGACAUCUAAAAACCUGAUUUCUUGAAGGCCUUACUAUUUCCUAAAAGGGUGCCGCAUACCUUAUCCUUUGUCCCUUGUCCUUCUAGAAACCUUUUACAAUACCCCCUUUCUAGAAGCCUAGAAAUCUGGCACACCCUGGAUCCUUGUCCCUGUUGGUUUGUGCUGUUCAAUCCCUUUCCAAUACAACCUUUGGAGUGCCAAAUCCUCCUCCAAAACUAUCUUAUGUCGUGUGCCCUCAGCCUAUAAAUACACCACAAUGCUGCACCAUUCAGAGGACCACACACAAUAGCCUAAAAUCAGAAAAACACACAUAGUGCUGCAACUUUGCAAGCAAGGAAGGAGAAGAAGAAGCUUGGAGUCGUGCCUACCAUCCAAGGCCUUUGGAAUGCUUGAGCGUUUCUAAGUGUAUUCUAUCCUUAGUUUUAGUUCAAUGUUUGUUUUAAUUUGGUUUUCAGUUAUGAUAGACAUGUGGAACUAAUUUCGUUUUA